CAUGCGCCUGGCGGGAAGGCGGAAGUGAGUCUGGUUGUAUGCUGACGGUGUCAGUCGGUAUCCUGGAGCUGGAGCUACUCCUUCACUUCCUCCGCGGUUCUCGCCCGUUCAAUGACGCCGACCUCCGCCUCUCCCUCCACGGGAAGCGUUCAGCGAGUUUUGCGUCCUUAAUGCGCUUCUCCGGGAAACGGCAGUACAUUUCUCGGCGACACGUUUGAAGGCAGAACUCGGACCACUGUGCAUCAUGUGGAGGAAUGCGUCAGUGGCGGCCCUUCUGGCCCUGGCAGUGGGCUACUUCUACCACGGCUGCCCUGAGCUGCCCGAGCAGCUCCUCCACUACAUUAGCCCGCCUGGCAGCCAGUCCUCCCCGCAGAGCAAUAUCCGCCUGGAGCAGGUCAUUUCAGAUGCUUGGGACUCUCUGAUCACAUUGCCUACGCGGCAGUGGAGCAGAGUGGCCGUCGGGGUGAAUGCCUGCGUGGACGUGGUGGUGUCCGGAGUGGGCCUGUUGCAGGCGCUGGCCUUGGACCCAGGCACCGGCCUGGAUCACGAGGUGCUUCAUUCCAAAGAGGACCUGAGGGAAGCCUUCAUCCAUUACAUGGAGCGCGGGGCAGCCGCCGAACGCUUCUUCAGCGACAAGGAGGUCUUUCAGAGGAUCGCCCGUGCGGCUGCCGAGUAUCCCGGUGCUAAACUGUACGUCGGAGGAAACGCCGCUCUGAUCGGUCAGAAACUCGCAACAUACCCAGAUCUCAUGGUUUUGUUAUGUGGCCCGGUUGGACCGAAACUCCACGAAAUGCUGGAUGAGCAGAUUGUUGUUCCUCCGGGAUCCCUGCAAGAAAUGGACGAAUACCAUCUAAUCUUGGAAUACAAAGCCGGCGAGCAGUGGGGUUUAACACGAGCACCUCAAGCCAAUCGCUUCAUCUUCUCGCACGAUGUGGCCAAUGGAGAGAUGAGCACAUUGGAGACAUUCGUGGCCAGCCUAGAGGAGUUCCAACCUGACUUGGUGGUCCUGUCUGGGCUGCACAUGAUGGAGGGCCAGGGCCGCGAGCUGUGGGAGGAGCGCCUCAAAGAGGCGGUGGCAUCUAUAUCGGACAUUCGUAAGGACAUCCCUAUCCACUUGGAGCUGGCUAGCAUGACGGACAAAGAUUACAUGAACAGCAUCAUGCAGGAGCAGGUCAUGCCCAUUGUCAGCUCCAUCGGGCUGAACGAGCAGGAGCUACUGUUCCUCUCGCAGGCCGGCGGCGGACCUCACGCUCAGCUGGCGGCGUGGAACGGCGUCCCCGACGUGGGCCAGGUCAGCGACAUCCUCCUGUGGAUCUUGGAACGCCACGGCCGAAGCGACCCCUCGUCAGAGGCUGACCUUACCCGCGUCCACUUCCACACGCUGGCCUACCACGUGCUAGCCACGGUGGACGGCUACUGGGCCAACCAGGCGGCGGCGGUGACGGCCGGUGCGCGCGUAGCCAGCAGCCAGGCGUGCGGCAGCAGCGCCGUGGACGCCGCUAAAGUGGAGCUCAAAGCUCCGCUGAGAUUUCACAGUUCUCACUCGGAGCCACGUGUGGCGCUGUCGCUCGACCCGGCGGCUCCGGUGACGGCGUGGCGGCGGGGAAACGUCACGUUCCACAUGACGCCGGUGCUGGUGUGCAAGCAACCGCUUCGGACGGUCGGGCUCGGAGACGCCAUCUCGGCGGAGGGACUCGUUUACUCAGAGUUAAAGAGCCGGCGACCUUACUGACCUCUCGAGAGUUGGAAAAUCCUGCCUGUCGACACGCCGUUCCCUUCCGGCCGAGUCGGAUUCUAUGCACGAGGAAGUAUGGUGUGGUUAUUUUUGCAAAAGGGUUGAACUUUCUGGUAAGUUAAAUUGGUAAAUUCUGGAUCACUGUGUUCCAAAUUGGAAAGUCUUUAAUGGGAAUUGAAAGUAAAUAACUCACUGGCUGACAUUAACGGUAAAAGACGAACCCGGUUGCUUUAUAAAUGAAGCUAUCCAAUUUAAUCAAAAAUGAUAGAAAUCCAAUCAAGCGGAUCUUAAAAACUUAAAGGGGAAGUUCAGAAUUUUUGACAUCAGGCUUAGUCUUAGAGUUAUCGAGGGUUUUAUCAGUUGGUGGAGUUGACUUUUUAAAAAAUCUGUGUAGUUUGUUGGUUAUUUGUUAGCUUCAGGGCUCCGGAGUGGCUAAGCUAGUGCGAGUCAUUUGGGUCAUCUUAGCAUGGCAAUAAAAAAACAACAUUAUGCAUACAAGAAAAUCAUCGAAGGCCCUUACAAUCAAUAAUGUUGGCUAUGUUUUCAGGAUAAAGUUAUUGAAAGUUACCAUUGCAUGUCAAGAAUUGCUUCUGUCUGUUUCCACUACCUCUAAAUGCACAGUUCACCAGGUUGCCGGCCGUCAGUUAACUCGGCAAACUGUUGCUGCAUUCGAGGAAGGUGGGAAGACAAGAGUUUCCAACCUCCGAUCUGGAAAAACAUCAUUGGAACGCCUCCACUAUUUGAUCGCUUACGAGAGGGCAAGUUUGCUGGAGGUCAAAAUGUUUUUUGAUGGCUAAAAUAAACUACUUGUCGCAAUCUUUGCUGUUUACAUUCGUUUGGAACGCUUUGAGGUCACAACUUGUACCCUCUGAGCAGGAUAAGUCCGCGACUUCCCACCUUCCUCGAAUGCAGCGUGAGCACGAGUGGCCGAAGCACUCCUCUCUAUUGUGGUCAUAUUACGCAUCAAAAAAAAAAAAAAAGUACAUUGGCUGUUUUGGAAAAAUGAUCUGCAUUUUGAAUGUAUUUGACUAGGUUGGAUCUGUUCGUAGAUCUGUAUCUUUUGUUGUCAUACUAAAUUGGCCCCAUUGACUCGCGCUAGCUUAGCCUCUCUGAAGCCCUGAAACUAACAAAUAACGAACUGCACGAAAUUUGUUGAAAUCUACUCCGCCAACUAAUUAACCCCCCGCUAACUUGAAGAAUAAGCCUAAUGUCAAAAAUUCUGAACUUCCGCUUUAAAACUCUUGAAAUGAGUUUAUCCGGAGUAGACGUCCAAUCCCUUAGAAGUGGGAGGGUAGGUAGUGCGUGAGCUGCUAACCCUCCCACUUCAAAUAGAUUGGACGUCUAGCGCCAUCAAUGGCAGCCAAUGAGGAGAUAAGUAAAAUUCUCAAAAAUAUCCUUCGUUACCAUAAGGAGUAGUGCAAAGUCAAAUACAGUAUAUCACUACAGUAAAGUUCAUAUUGCUGUUUUAUAAGCAAAGGCUAUAUUAUGCGAUCACUGAGACUCUAGUACAGUGGUAAUUAACCUCGCUAAAGGUACCGAACCCCAUGAGAUUAAUAUGUAUUCACCAAAGUUCAAAACCGAUAUAGCUAAGCUAGCAACAUAAUAUCGACCAUAUAUACUCUCGUAUAGGUUGCAUUUCUUUACCAAUAUUUUCACCCGAAAAUGCAGGUGCGACUGAUACUCCCGAUGAGCUAUCCUUGCUCUAACCAUUGUCCAAUUUAAACAGUCAUAAAACUGAAAAAGCAUACAACUUACCAUUAGCUAUGUACGCUAACUAUACGGACAAGUUACGCUGAAAAUAAUCAACAAAUGUCUAAUUUAAAAAAUAAAUACAUUAUCUCGUACAACAACAAAAAAUAUGUACAGUGUUACCUCUACUUAUGAAAUUAAUUGGUUCUGGAAGUAGUUUAACUUGAAAUUUGUGUAAAUAGAGAAAAAUGCCCUGAUUGUUCUGAACCCCCCCAAACUUCAGGAAUAAAUCUUUUAUAUUGCAUAAAAAUGUACCAAAACGUACUAAAUGGCUUUUUGUAUCCUGAAAUCUCUUAGCAAAAGGCAAUAUUUUCCCGUUGAAGCGUGUCUUAACCUGUAAAUUCUGUAUGUAGAGACGUUCUUAAGUAGAGGUACUGCACUGUACUUUAGACAACCAGUACUUACGAACAAAACUUGCCCAAGGAAGAAAUAAAGAUCCACAUCAUGGUGGAAGCUGAUACUGUUCAAGUCGUGCAGCCAUUUUGUCUUUCACAACAAUGUCGUCAUGCGACCUCAAGAGGGUGUUGUAAGGACCAUGCUAAAAGGAGAUAAGUGUUUGAAAGUGAUAGAGGAAUUUGAGGGCUUCCAUAUAUGAUGAUGAGGAAAAGUUACCGGGUGUGUCUCAAUGGUAGAGUAGUCUUUCUCCAACAACCUUGAGGUUGUGGGUUAGGUCCUUCACCCUGGUGACCUUGUUGAAGUAUCCUUGAGCAAGAUAUAGCUGAGCUAACCUUGAGGUUGUGGGUUAGGUCCUUCACCCUGGUGACCUUAUUGAAGUCUCCUUGAGCAAGAUAUAGCUGAGCUAAGAAGCUAAUAUCAACCGUAUGAUCUCACUCGUAGGUUGCAUUUUUUUUUUUUUUUUUUUUUUAACCAAAAUUUUCACCCAAAAAUGCAGGCGAGACCCAUCCGCCCGAUAUGUUGCUCUCGCUGACCAUUGCAUAGAACAGCACAGAACUUAGCAUUAGCUACAUACACGAGCUAUACAGACAUGUUAUACUACAAAUAAUCUCUCAACAAUAAAAAUAUGCACUGUACUUGAAGCAAACUGUACUUAUGAACAAAACUUGCCUGCCUAACCACUUCAAAUGGAUUGGACGUCUAGGGCCGUCAUUGGCAGACAGUGAAUUAAAGCAACACUUGGUAACUUUUCGGUCGAUUUUAGUGACCAAAAGCGGUAGUGUUUUGCCUUAAGGAAGACUCCGUUUCCAAUGAAGACCAGCGCUGCAUUUCCCAUGGGGACCAGCGCACACCCGCACAGUGUCGUAAAAUCAUCAGUCAAUCAAAAAUCUCCCAGUCGCCGUCAGAUGGAUUAAACAACAUUUUGUUUCAAGCAGCUGUGUUGGAUGAAUAGAAAUAGGGUAAUGAAUUCAGUUGUGGCUAAUUAAUAGCAUAUGACUGUUAAGAACAGUGUGGCUGGUGAUUGGCUAAUUGGUAUAAUGUGACUUGUCAUGUGACGUGGUGCAUUCAGGGUGUGUGGGGAAGAAAUCUUAACCCAUGUUACAAUCACAAAUGACAUUUUAAAAAGGUUGAAAGGUUACCUAGUGUUGCUUUAAGUAGUGUCUGACCAACUCAUGAUAGAAAUACUUAACAUUCAGGAAAAAAAAUAUUUUGUAAACACAUGUUUGUGGUAUUGGUCCAAUAUUGGCCAAUACCACUCAGCCGGGAAUCUUAAUCAGGAACCAAACAUAGGUAUCGGUGCGACAGUAAUUUAUCGGAUACUACACAAACAGUAAAAAGUUUUGAGUCAGUUUCUCAUUCAACUGAAUGACAUGCUAGUAUAAUUUUUUUAACUUUUUUUUUUAUUUUCUUAGACAAUGGCCUCUAUUUUAAGAUGGAAAGCACAAAUAUUGCUGUGACCGUCCAAAGUGGAACGAAUCCUGUUCCAGGUUCAUUUCCGAGUUGUUCUCAUUUUAAAAUUUAGUUUUUAAGUGGUCAUCAAAAACAUAAUGACAAAUAACUUACCUACUCAAACAGUAGUAAAACUACUCACCCACGAUAAAGUCACUGAGUGAUGUUCAAAGCCGACUGACCAUGCAGGAAAGUCCGAUUCUGGUUCGGUGGUUAUCUCACACGCAAAAGCCAAAGAAAAAUGUGAAGGGGACCUCUUUGCUGACAUCCCAAGUUACAAUGCUUCGACUAUUGUUUGACUUAAGAGGCACAAUUUGGUUGUACUUUUCAACUAUUUCCAUUGUAUUUGUAGUUUACUGCGAAAGGAAAACACUUCAUUCUUCUGCUCCGAUUACCUCAGACGGCUAGUAGAGACGGUGAACUUAAGGUGUCUUCAUGCAAAAAUGUUGGUUGAUCACUUGGGACUCAUUGCACUAGUAGAAAGGUAGGCGGACUUGUGAGGUGAAUGUAACACCGCCUCCUCCCUAGCAAGUACAACUUAGUCAGUUAUUAGUCUCCUGUCUUCUUAACAUGUCAUUAAACUGUGUACCUAGUGGUUGUUUGUGCUAGGCUAACUGUGACGGAAAGCUAGAAGUGGAUGAGACGACUUCAUGAAAAUAUGAAGAAAUAAUAUUCCUAUGUAUGUUUUCUUAAAGCAGAGGUGAAAACCUCUUUCGUAUCAGGGGCCAUUUUAGUUUUCUGAGGGCCGUAUUGAAAUGUAUGAAAGGACGAUCACUUAAGGAUGCAAAUAAAUGCUUAUUGUUAUAUAUAAGUAUUUGUCAUUUGAGUGUUUUGAUAUGG